ACGUUCUUAACUGCUCCGUUUUUCAUCUCUGCUUUGGGCUCCCGCCUUCUCCGUUCGCUUUGCCCAUUCCGUUUCAGCCAGUCGCCAGGAAUCAUGAAAGUAGCCAGUGGUAGCACCGCCGCCGCCGCAGGCCCCAGCUGCGCGCUGAAGGCCGGCAAGGCAGCGGGCGGCGCGGGCGAGGUGGUGCGCUGCCUGUCUGAGCAAAGCGUGGCCAUCUCGCGCUGCGCCGGGGGCGCCGGGGCGCGCCUGCCUGCCCUGCUUGACGAGCAGCAGGUGAACGUGCUGCUCUACGACAUGAACGGCUGCUACUCACGCCUCAAGGAGCUGGUGCCCACUCUGCCCCAGAACCGCAAAGUGAGCAAGGUGGAGAUCCUCCAGCACGUCAUCGACUACAUCAGGGACCUGCAGUUGGAGCUGAAUUCGGAAUCCGAAGUCGGGACCCCCGGGGGCCGAGGGCUGCCGGUCCGGGCUCCACUAAGCACCCUCAACAGCGAGAUCAGCGCCCUGACGGCCGAGGCGGCAUGCGUUCCUACGGACGAUCGCAUCUUGUGUGGCUGA